GUCCCUGUAGCUCAGUUGGAUAGAGCAUUUGCCUUCUAAGCAAAGGGUCGCACGUUCGAUUCGUGCCAGGGACGCCA
rnacentral:tRNA from 1 species